GCCCAGACUCCUACGGGAGGCAGCAGUGGGGAAUAUUGCGCAAUGGAGGGAACUCUGACGCAGCAACGCCGCGUGAAGGAAGAAGGCUUUCGGGUUGUAAACUUCUUUGAUCGGGGACGAAGAUGACGGUACCCGAGGAACAAGCCACGGCUAACUACGUGCCAGCAGCCGCGGUAAUACGUAGGUGGCAAGCGUUGUCCGGAAUUACUGGGUGUAAAGGGCGUGUAGGCGGGAGGACAAGUCAGAUGUGAAAGCCCAUGGCUUAACUGUGGAAUUGCAUCUGAAACUGUUUUUCUUGAGUGCUGGAGAGGAAAGUGGAAUUCCUAGUGUAGCGGUGAAAUGCGUAGAGAUUAGGAGGAACACCAGUGGCGAAGGCGGCUUUCUGGACAGUAACUGACGCUGAGGCGCGAAAGCGUGGGGAGCAAACAGGAUUAGAUACCCUGGUAGUCCACGCUGUAAACGAUGGAUACUAGGUGUGGGAGGUAUCGACCCCUU
rnacentral:rRNA from 1 species